rnacentral:rRNA from 1 species
UGGGGAAUAUUGCACAAUGGGCGCAAGCCUGAUGCAGCCAUGCCGCGGGUGUGAAGAAGGCCUUCGGGUUGUAAAGCACUUUCAGCGGGGAGGAAGGCGUUAAGGUUAAUAACCUUGGCGAUUGACGUUACCCGCAGAAGAAGCACCGGCUAACUCCGUGCCAGCAGCCGCGGUAAUACGGAGGGUGCAAGCGUUAAUCGGAAUUACUGGGCGUAAAGCGCACGCAGGCGGUCUGUCAAGUCGGAUGUGAAAUCCCCGGGCUCAACCUGGGAACUGCAUUCGAAACUGGCAGGCUAGAGUCUUGUAGAGGGGGGUAGAAUUCCAGGUGUAGCGGUGAAAUGCGUAGAGAUCUGGAGGAAUACCGGUGGCGAAGGCGGCCCCCUGGACAAAGACUGACGCUCAGGUGCGAAAGCGUGGGGAGCAAACAGG